UACCGGCGGCUCGAGUGGUGGCCGCUUUUACUGGGCUUAAAGGGUCCGUAGCUUGAUCCAUGGGUCCCUUGAGAAAUCCAUCAGCUUAACUGCUGGGCGUUCAGGGGAAACUGUGGUUCUAGGGACCGGGAGAGGUAAGAGGUACUGCCGGGGUAGGAGUGAAAUCCUGUAAUCCCGGUGGGACGACCUAUAGCGAAGGCAUCUUACCAGAACGGCUCCGACAGUGAGGGACGAAAGCUGGGGGAGCAAA
rnacentral:rRNA from 1 species